UACGAAGGGGGCUAGCGUUGCUCGGAAUUACUGGGCGUAAAGGGCGCGUAGGCGGCCUUCUAAGUCGAACGUGAAAUCCCCGGGCUCAACCCGGGAACUGCGUCCGAUACUGGAAGGCUUGAAUCCGGGAGAGGGAUGCGGAAUUCCAGGUGUAGCGGUGAAAUGCGUAGAUAUAGGAAGGAACACCAGUGGCGAAGGCGACCACCUGGACUGAUACUGACACUGAGGUGCGAAAGCGUGGGGAGCAAACAGG
rnacentral:rRNA from 1 species